CCCCAAAAAUGGAGACCCCAAAGCCACCCAGAUCCCAACCCCAUGGGGCACCAAGAGGAGAAGAUCCCAAACCCGUGGGUGGAAGAUCCCAAUGGGGGAAGAUCCCAAUGGGGGAAGACCCCAAUGGGGGAAGAUCCCAAUGGGGGAAGAUCCCAAACCCAUGGAUGGAAGAUCCCAAUGGGGGAAGACCCCAAUGGGGGGAAGACCCCAAUGAUGGAAGAUCCCAAUGGGGGAAGAUCCCAAUGGGAGAAGAUCCCAAUGGGAGAAGAUCUCAAUGGUGGAAGAUCCCAAAGAUGGAAGACCCCAAAGAUGGAAGACCCCAAAGCC
rnacentral:lncRNA from 1 species